rnacentral:tRNA from 5 species
GGGGUUGUAGCUGAGUUGGUACAAGCGUCCGAUUGAAGCUCGGAAGUACGAAGGGUCGAAGCCUUCCUUCCCCA